rnacentral:rRNA from 1 species
CAGCCGCCACGGUAAAACGGAGGGUGCAAGCGUUAAUCGGAAUUACUGGGCGUAAAGCGCACGCAGGCGGUCUGUCAAGUCAGAUGUGAGAUCCCCGGGCUUAACCUGGGAACUGCAUUUGAAACUGGCAGGCUAGAGUCUUGUAGAGGGGGGUAGAAUUCCAGGUGUAGCGGUGAAAUGCGUAGAGAUCUGGAGGAAUACCGGUGGCGAAGGCGGCCCCCUGGACAAAGACUGACGCUCAGGUGCGAAAGCGUGGGGAGCAAACAGGAUUAGAUACCCCAGUAGUCCCUGUCUCUUAUAC